GGAAGAUGAGGAGAAUACGUGUGUUAACGAUGGACGGUUGGCGCCAGUGAAGAAACAACUCUUUGCUCCUGAGAAGUACUUCACAAACUAUCUUUUCCAUCAGGGACAACAAUGUCACUGUAUGACAAUAUAAUGGAAUUCCUGAGGAAGGCUUUGGCAGCAGAUAAAGCCAGUCACUACCAGUAAUUUGAAAAACAGCGCAAACAUAUCUUGCCAAAAUACAAAUGUGCUCCUAAGUAACCUUGGUUCGUCUCCUGUUUCCUACACCCUAACCCUGAAUGGACUGGUCUACCAACAGGACCGUUUCUCCUCCCAGUGCCCAAAAUACUGUCCAAUAAAUCUGAUGAAUUUUCUCUGUUA